rfam:Heligmosomoides polygyrus genome assembly, scaffold: HPBE_scaffold0003837
CCCAAGGCCCUCUUUAGGGCCACAAUUGUAACAUAUACGAAUCUC